AAGUCGUAACAAGGUUUCCGUAGGUGAACCUGCGGAAGGAUCAUUAACACAAUUUUACUGUGAUAAAUCCGUUGAAUUCUCGAAUUCAAUGGUAUCCACCCCAUUAUUGACGAACUUUUCUAGAUGUUAAAACAUAGAGCUAGUCUUUAUGCUUUUAACAUUCUAAACCUUUUUCUAUAUCCACACAAAUUUAAACCCCUUUUACAACAUGUAUUAGACUGAAAUGAAAAUUUUCUAUCAAAAAAUUGAUAAAAACAACUUUUAACAACGGAUAUCUUGGCUCUC
rnacentral:misc_RNA from 1 species